rnacentral:rRNA from 1 species
AUUGAACGCUAGCGGCAUGCUUAACACAUGCAAGUCGAACGGUAACAGGUCUAGCUUGCUAGAUGCUGACGAGUGGCGGACGGGUGAGUAACGCGUAGGAAUUUACCUUGUAGUGGGGGAUAACCUGGGGAAACCCAGGCUAAUACCGCAUGAGCCCUAAGGGGGGAAAGCGUGGGACCGAAAGGCCACGUGCUAUGAGAUGACCCUGCGUCGGAUUAGCUAGUUGGUAGGGUAAAGGCCUACCAAGGCGAAGAUCCGUAGCGGGUCUGAGAGGACGAGCAGCCACACUGGGACUGAGACACGGCCCAGACUCCUACGGGAGGCAGCAGUGGGGAAUAUUGGACAAUGGGCGCAAGCCUGAUCCAGCAAUGCCGCGUGUGUGAAGAAGGCCUGCGGGUUGUAAAGCACUUUCGGUGGGGAGGAAGGCCUGAUGGUUAAUAGUCAUCAGGAUUGACGUUACCCACAGAAGAAGCACCGGCUAACUCUGUGCCAGCCGCCGCGGUAA